UAUGAACAUUAUGUUGAGGUAAUGGACACUUACAAUCCUCUGAGGAUUCUGUAUUGGUUUCAGUGGAAGAACUAUCUGUUCCUAUAAAAUCAAGGUCGUUACUAUCUAUAUCUUCAGUAUAAGAUUCACUAGAAGAUUCACUAGAAGUGGAAGAGGAAGAAUCGUAGGAAAUUAUAUUCUUUAAUUUUGAUUUGGUUGUAUCAUCUAAAUUUAAUGACUCUAUUUUCUUUUUUAAUUUACAUUGGUGUUUAUAAUGUCC
rnacentral:lncRNA from 1 species